UUUACAUAUGUACAUAUUCAAAUGCGCAGUACAUAACGGGAAUGUAACGUGUUUUUCUCCCCUCUCUCUAUCGACCAUACUAUAUCACUCUCAGCAGCUCUCUGACCCCGCUCUCUCUUAUGAUCUCUGUCACCCUCCCUCUCGCAUCGUUUCACUCCCUUCUUCUCUUUCUGUGCUUGCUCUUUUAUUAUUGGUAUCUCUUUCUUUGUGUUCACUCUCUGGCUCUAAAUUCUUCUUUCCCACAUCUCCGAUUGAGUGGUGCUCAUUAAGAGCGGUGUGUUCAAUGGAGUCGGACGUCGCGGACGCAAUGUUCUUUAGAAAAAGGUAAACGACUCUUAAGAAAAGUAGAAACACAAGGAUCAAAAUUAAAUUCAGAACGAACCACAGA